rnacentral:rRNA from 1 species
CGGACGGGUGAGUAAUGUCUGGGAAACUGCCCGAUGGAGGGGGAUGACUACUGGAAACGGUAGCUAAUACCGCAUAACGUCGCAAGACCAAAGAGGGGGACCUUCGGGCCUCUUGCCAUCGGAUGUGCCCAGAUGGGAUUAGCUAGUAGGUGGGGUAACGGCUCACCUAGGCGACGAUCCCUAGCUGGUCUGAGAGGAUGACCAGCCACACUGGAACUGAGACACGGUCCAG